rnacentral:lncRNA from 1 species
UGAAGUUCAAAGAUGUUUGGAACCUUUGUUGUCUCCGUUUCUCUAGGAAAUAGCAAUUUUAUAGUGGUUAGUCCAAUGAUUUAGGGAGUAUUUGCAGUUUUGCUAAAUUAAUUGAUAAAAAUUAGAACGAUGUCCAUGUAACAUGAUAUACAUAUACAAAUCAAAAUAAUAAUAUAUCUUAUUAAAGUAUAAGUAAUUUAAGUUUUUGUUUGGCAACAUAUAUUGUAGUUCAAAAAAGAAUAGUGAUAUUUAGAAACAUGAAUAGCUGCAAGUUAGGAAGAAAAAA